rnacentral:rRNA from 1 species
CAGUCGCCGCGGUAAUGCGAAGGGUGCAAGCGCUAAUCGGAAUUACUGGGCGUAAAGCGUGCGUAGGCGGUUUGUUAAGUCUGUUGUGAAAUCCCCGGGCUCAACCUGGGAAUGGCAAUGGAUACUGGCAAGCUAGAGUGUGUCAGAGGAUGGUGGAAUUCCCGGUGUAGCGGUGAAAUGCGUAGAGAUCGGGAGGGACAUCAGUGGCGAAGGCGGCCAUCUGGGACAACACUGACGCUGAGGCACGAAAGCGUGGGGAGCAAACAGGAUUAGAUACCCCCGUAGUCCCUGUCUCUUAUAC